UCGGGCGUGGUGUACGGCACACGGCUGGCUUCUGUCGUAUUUCGUUUUAAAGAGUAGCUGGCUGUCCGGGGUUCGAUUCCCCGCGUUCGAA